CACAUUGGUACUGAGACACGGACCAAACUCCUACGGGAGGCAGCAGUGAGGAAUAUUGGUCAAUGGGCGUAAGCCUGAACCAGCCAAGUCGCGUGAGGGAUGAAGGUUCUAUGGAUCGUAAACCUCUUUUAUAAGGGAAUAAAGUGCGGGACGUGUCCCGUUUUGUAUGUACCUUAUGAAUAAGGAUCGGCUAACUCCGUGCCAGCAGCCGCGGUAAUACGGAGGAUCCGAGCGUUAUCCGGAUUUAUUGGGUUUAAAGGGUGCGUAGGCGGCCUUUUAAGUCAGCGGUGAAAGUCUGUGGCUCAACCAUAGAAUUGCCGUUGAAACUGGGAGGCUUGAGUAUGUUUGAGGCAGGCGGAAUGCGUGGUGUAGCGGUGAAAUGCUUAGAUAUCACGCAGAACCCCGAUUGCGAAGGCAGCCUGCCAAGCCAUGACUGACGCUGAUGCACGAAAGCGUGGGGAUCAAACAGGAUUAGAUACCCUGGUAGUCCACGCAGUAAACGAUGAUCACUAGCUGUUUGCGAUACACAGUAA
rnacentral:rRNA from 1 species